rnacentral:rRNA from 1 species
GGAGUUAGCCGGUGCUUCUUCUGUGAGUGAUGUCCUUCCUGCCGGUUAUUGACCCGCAGGCCUUCUUCCUCACUGAAAGUGCUUUACAACCCGAAGGCCUUCUUCACACACGCGGCAUGGCUGGAUCAGGGUUGCCCCCAUUGUCCAAUAUUCCCCACUGCUGCCUCCCGUAGGAGUCUGGGCCGUGUCUCAGUCCCAGUGUGGCUGAUCAUCCUCUCAGACCAGCUACGGAUCGUCGCCUUGGUGAGCCGUUACCUCACCAACCAGCUAAUCCGACAUAGGCUCAUCCGAUAGCGCGAGGCCCGAAGGUCCCCCGCUUUCCCCCGUAGGGCGUAUGCGGUAUUAGCCUGGGUUUCCCCAGGUUAUCCCCCACUACCGGGCAGAUUCCUAUGCAUUACUCACCCGUCCGCCGCUCGACACCAGGGAGCAAGCUCCCCGUGCUGCCGCUCGACUUGCAUGUGUUAGGCCUGCCGCCAGCGUUCAAUCUGAGCCAUGAUCAAACUCUGA